rnacentral:rRNA from 1 species
UACAGAGGGUGCAAGCGUUGUUCGGAAUUACUGGGCGUAAAGCGCGCGUAGGCGGCGCGACGCGACCGGUGUGAAAGCCCCCGGCUCAACUGGGGAGGGUCAUCGGUAACGGUCGUGCUGUGAGUGCAGGAGAGGGAUGUGGAACUCCGGGAGUAGCGGUGAAAUGCGCAGAUAUCAGGAGGAACACCAAUGGCGAAGGCAGCACUCUGGGACGUGACUGACGCUGAGACGCGAAAGCGUGGGGAGCAAACAGG